rnacentral:rRNA from 1 species
CAGCAGCCGCGGUAAUACGUAGGGUGCAAGCGUUUAUCAGAAUUACUGGGCGUAAAGCGUGCGCAGGCGGUUUGUUAAGACAGAUGUGAAAUCCCCGGGCUUAACCUGGGAACUGCAUUUGUGACUGGCAAGCUAGAGUAUGGCAGAGGGGGGUGGAAUUCCGCGUGUAGCAGUGAAAUGCGUAGAUAUGCGGAGGGACACCGAUGGCGAAGGCAGCCCCCUGGGCCAAUACUGACGCUCAUGCACGAAAGCGUGGGGAGCAAACAGGAUUAGAUACCCCUGUAGUCCCUGUCUCUUAUAC